rnacentral:rRNA from 1 species
UGAGGAUCGGGGCGUGUCGGGCUUGGUCGGGAAGUGGGUCAGCGCUAACGUGCCGGGCCUGGGCGAGGUGAGUGCCGUAGGGGUGCCGGUAAGUGCGGGCGUUUAGCGCGGGCGUGGUCUGCUCUCGCCGUUGGUUGGCCUCGCGCCGGCCGGCGGUGCAGGAUGCGCGCGCCUGCGCGGCGUUCGCGCCCCGGUGCUUCAACCUGCGUGCAGGAUCCGAGCUCGGUCCCGUGCCUUGGCCUCCCACGGAUCUUCCUUGCUGCGAGGCCGCGUCCGCCUUAGCGUGCUCCUCCGGGGGCGCGCGGGUGCGCGGAUUCUCUUCGGCCGCCAUUCAACGAUCAACUCAGAACUGGCACGGACUGGGGGAAUCCGACUGUCUAAUUAAAACAAAGCAUUGCGAUGGCCCUAGCGGGUGUUGACGCAAUGUGAUUUCUGCCCAGUGCUCUGAAUGUCAACGUGAAGAAAUUCAAGCAAGCGCGGGUAAACGGCGGGAGUAACUAUGACUCUCUU